rnacentral:rRNA from 1 species
GACAGAGGGGGCAAGCGUUGCUCGGAAUUACUGGGCGUAAAGGGCGCGUAGGCGGGAUGGCAAGUCGGUCGUGAAAUCCUUCGGCUCAACCGAAGAACGUCGAUCGAUACUGCUGUUCUUGAGGGUUGCAGAGGAGACUGGAAUUCCGGGUGUAGCGGUGGAAUGCGUAGAGAUCCGGAAGAACACCGGUGGCGAAGGCGGUCUGCUGGGCAGUGGCUCGCAAGAGCCAAUAGCCGACACUGAGGCGCGACAGCGUGGGGAGCAAACAGG